AGGACUUUUAGCAAGGCUCUCAUGCUUGAGGCGCUUGUUUGUCUGCAUCGUGGUAGUGUCCAUUCUACCAGCUAAUUCUCCUGCAGGUGUAGGCCAGGUCCAAAUGGUGCCCUGAAUUCUAUCCUCUUUCUAAUUAUAACUCCCAAAACACAUCUCUUUUUUUUCUUGCAGGGUUCCUAAGCAUUUAAUAGCAUCUGGACAGGCAGAUAUUCAGCCGGUGAAGAUUUCCCAUUACUCCAUGCCAGGAAGAGUCCCACUUGUUGUUUGCCCACAGUGCAUCUAUUAAAGUCUCAGAUUCUGGACAAGGGUCACUGCUGAAUUUUUUGUACAAAGUUCCUGUGUCCUUAACAGCUGCAGAAGAGGUCAACAAUCAACAAGUGCAGCAAUCCCCAGCUUGAACACACAGGAUUCUGAGCAGGAGGAUUUCAAUGUAUGUUAAGUUUCCAUAUAUAUAUACACACAGAGAGACCCAUGUAGUCAGGGAUUUGUGCUGUAGACAGGCCUGCUGGCUCCAUGUUUCAGGAAGCUCUUGACAAACUGCCCUCCAUGGGCCUCCUCCUACCCGGGUGAGUCUCAAAAGAGUUGCUCCUUUACCACCUCACGAAAGGCGGCCUGGGCCCUGGGCACUUGCCCCACAGUGACGACUCCUUGCUGCCAGCCCUAGGCUUGUGGGUUCUGGCAACAAGGCCUAGUUGAGCCAAUGGGCAAAACUCUGGCAGCCAGAACUGAGUCUCUCCCCACCUGCAGCUUAGUCAAGAAUCGGUUGUCAUUUGAAUCUGAAACUGAGGCAGUCACUCACCUUGGCCCUUUGAUUCUGGAACCAGACCUGCACCACCCGAACAGUCAGGCCAGUUUCAGCGGCCAAUGUCUCCCUUACCUGGAGAGAAGAGAAAAGCUUGGUUUAAAAGCUGGAAACAAUUCAAAAGUAGAUGCUCGGAACUUACGGCAUACGGCAACAACUUCCUUUUCAGAGCUGACAUUUCCCUUAAAACUCAAGUCACUGAGGGUAGCUUUGGUCAGCCUGCAAUUCUGUCGUAUGUUAUUGAGAAUGACUAGAAAUGCUCUCCAGAUAUGUCUCCGUAUCCACUGUGGUGCAGUCUAAUGAAAUUGUGCAGGACUACUUCUAUGCAAAUUGGAACCAUUUAGAACUUGUUGGAAGUGGUAGUCACAAGAGGCAGUUAGAGAGUGACAGUUUGAACUUGGAAGAGAAUUUCAGUGAGAGUGCAGACUUGGGUCUGGGUAGGAACAGUCUCAAAGAGGAGUUGUUAUGAGACUCAAAGGAUAAGACAGUUUAAAACAAGUUGUUCUAGUAAGAACUAAUCUGUCUACUUUCCUUGCACUUUUUCUACAAAUGGACAGAAUUUGGUUCAAAUUGAUGUCUACAAGUUAGGUCUCUUGCGCCUCAAAUGCUCAUGUGCCUGCCAUCCUGGAUCGAGGUGGAUGACAUCAUUACAAACUACACCAUUGAGAUGACCCUGUGUGUCUCCCACUACAAUGUACCAAAUUUGGUUCAAAUCAGUUAGACAGCCCUCAAGUUAUUGCACUUGCACCUCAAAAGUUCACAGGUCUGCCAUCUUGGAUUGUGGUAAAUGACAUCAUCACAAACUAUACCAUUGAGGUUUUCCCAUGUGCCCCUACAGCUGUAGAAAAUUUGGUUCAAAUCGGUUAGGCGGUUCACAAGUUAGCCCACUUGUGUCUCAAAUGUUUACGCAUCUGCCAUCUUGAACUGAAGUGGAUGGCAUCAUCACAAACUACACCAAUGAGGUGCCGCUGUGUGUCACUCACUACAACUGUAGCAAGUUUGGUUCUGAUGUGUUUUAGAAAACCAAAGUAACUCCAUUUUACUUAGAAAACCUCAGUCUGACUUAAAGUAACCCCAGCCCAGCUCAGGGCCAUCACGGCCUCUCAUGAUCAACGUCGUUAUCUCUCUCCACUAAAUUGUAUCUAAGGAAACUUGGUUCUCACAGGAUUCUCACUGUUCUUUGUUGACAAUUAAGAAAACAGGAUGUAACCAAAUAAGGAGUAAUCACCAGAUGAACAAUGAAUCAUUCACAUGCAUACUAGAUACUUAGUCCACCAUUUUAUUGCCACGUAUACUAUGUCUAGGGUGUCAGCAUCAUUCAGAUUGUCUGUAUAAAUGUAAGAUGCACCUAUAACCAAUUUGUAUUCAGUGCAGAGCCAAAGCCCACUGAUUACCAGUUGCAACUGCAGUGCAAUAAAAGCCUCAAAAGUAUUCCCACUGAGUCUGUUUGAUUGGCUAAAAGGCGGACCCAGGGACGAACCGAAUUCACAUCAAUUUGGUGCCGUGAGAAUCGGAUGUGACUCUGGGUGGGCGAUCUGACCUGUCACGGGACGAUGAAAUCCAGUGCGUCCCACAGCGUUUUGUCUGUGGAGGAUUCUCAUAGGCCCGGGACGCGCCAGUCGCUACAACGCGCCACAUCUGGGAAUCGAGGCAAGAGUGAAUGAAAGUGUGAACGGAGAGAGUGAGUGAGUGAGAGAGUGAAAUCCAGAGACGUCUUUUGGUGAAUACCCAGUCCGAGCAGGGGCGAGGGGAAAUUACAGCCCGAGCAGGGGCAGCCCGCGAAGGGGCAACCUAGAGUCCAAUAGGGGCAGCCUGCGAAGGGGCAACCUAGAGUCCAAUAGAGGCAGCCCGCGAAGGGGCAACCUAGAGUCCAAUAGAGGCAGCCCGCGAAGGGGCAAUAUGGGGGGGGGGGCUAUGGGAAGUAGAAAUAGCAAGUACACGAAAUCUGAACGGACUUCAUGUACACCUUUAGAAUGCGUGUUGAGGAAUUGGGUGAUUCUCACGGAAGGGGGAGGCGCCCUCAGAAUGAAAGUUUUAAAAAUAUAUCUAUAUGGAAGUUUGGCCAUAUCAUGACCUCAGUAAACAUCCUUUUUGCAAUUGCUUUUAUUUAUAUACAUAUGUAUGGAGAACAAGGGAACUGAAGAAAGUAUUAAAGAGGAAAAGAAUGAUUUUCUUUUGCUAAAAUCAUGUUGUCUCUGUGUUCUGUUUCCAAGCUCAAAACAGCUGCCUGCUGCCCAUGUGUUGCAAGCAGUCUAAAUUCUUGCUGCUACUAUCCCGUUGUAACCAAGUCAAAAGAUAACACUGUUCUUGCUGCAAAAAGUUUCUCCGAACAAAAGACUGCUUUUGUUCUCUUUUUCUUUUUUUUCUCUUUCCCCUCUCUUCAACUCCUUGCAGUUGGAGAAGAGGAAAGAAAAUGGAGUUUGAAGGAAUGCAUUUGGGAAUUGCAGACAAAAGACUAGAAGGAAACGUAAAAGGAUUUUGGUUGGAAGUUGUUAACAACAAGAAAAAGAAAAUUGAUUGAAAAGCACCUGUAAGUUAUAAGUUGUGAUGUGGAAAGGUAAUAUGGAAUUACAGAUUGUUUCAUAGAUGACUGUGAUAAGUUUGUCCUGUUUAAGGUACUUUCUUAACUGAGUUUAUGGCUAACAUAUUUAAAAUGUUAUAAAAUUCUUUGUGACUCAUAUGGAGUUUUCUUUGUUUAGUCCUUUGUUCUGUGAAAUACACAAGACAAGCCUGUGUGUGUGUGUGUGUGUUUCUGAGUGGGAGCCCAAAGCUCUGGUUCUGUGUAGGAAUUCAACCCUACAUCAAUGUUAUAGCUCAUCUCUGUGAAGAUGAGGUUUCUGUUGUAUUUGUGAAUGUAUUUAUUCUAGUGGCAUGUCUUUUUCUGUAAACUGUUCCAGACCAAACUUGCUCUGACACUGAAUUCCAAAAUUCACAGUUGUUAUAUUAAUUGAACAUAAAAUUGGUCAUGGCCUGAGCAACAGGGGGAACUUUCAGCGGUCAGGGGCCAACUGAGGUGCUGAAUCUUCCCACCUCUGCAAAAGUGCUGCUUAUGGCUGGCUAAAUGCAUUAGGCAUAAGAGCAAGCUCUAUUUCAUUCAUUCUUAUAUCAAGUUGAUUGUGAUAUUUCUGCCACUACUGAGUAUCAUAAGCCUUUAUAUGUUAUGUUUACUGAUUUCCUUGACAUGGCCUAUCUUACCUAUUUUCUGUAAGUAGAGAACUUUUCUCUAAACCAGAAGUUUCCCUUCCAAAUUCUUUCUCACAACUGAAAGCUGAUCCCUGAUUAACAAUGACAACUCCGCCCAUUUCCAGAUGGGAGGGGGGAAAAGGUUCUCUGUAAAGCAGUUUGUGUUGCAGCCAGUUAAUUGUGGGUGAGAAGGAAAAAUGGGUUUUAAGAUAAAUUAGUCUAAUUGUAUUACUGUAAUGUUUUUGCAAAAUCUAUGCAAUAUUUCUGCUAACUGAUUUGAUGUAAACUGAGAGCUAGUAAUCAAAUGGUCUAAGGUUUAAAUUUUAAAUUUGUCUCAUCCAGCAAGCCCUGCUUUGCCUUCACAGUAGCUGAAUCUUAAAAUUCCAGAUCCCAGACAUGAGAUUUGAUGAAAGGAAUUUUGGUUUUGCAACUCCUGCAAGUGGAAGGGAGUUCCAAAGUACCGAUUUGCAUUUUACCUAGAAGACUUCCCAGUUUAAAAGGAUUAAGCCUUGUGUGUUACUGUGAAACCCACACCCUCUUUUCACAGCUCCUGAUGAGAGACUUGACUUUAUUAUCACAGGUUUCACCCCCCUGCAAGAUUAUGGUCAAUUUUUCUGAUAACACCUUUUACUAAAGAGGCCCGUAAAAGGGGACACUUUAAUUUGCUUCAUGAGACAUUAGGCCUCGUCCAGAAGUCUCAAUCCUAUUCCAACAAGGUAUAGUAUUUUGCCUGGGGGCAUGGACUGUUUCUUUCUUAUAGUGUAUAGGUUUUUCCCCAAGAAGAUAUUGUUACCCUACAAAGAUGUCAAACCCCAAACCCUUACUCAUUGGUCAUUUGCAAAGUUAUGAGGCUAAAGAUGGAGAACUGGAACACCACAACUAUCUACACUUGACCUAGAUGAAGAUCCCAAAGCCAGAUGUUACUGAUGAAUCACCCCUUUAUGGAGAAUGAAGUCAGUUAUACUGGAUGGAGAUUGAUUGCCCUGACAAAGGCCUGUAAGUAUAAUUGUCAGCCAACGUGGUGCAGUGGUUAGAGUGCUGGACUAGGACCGGGGAAACUCGAGUCCAAACCCUCAUUCAGCCAUGACACUUGCUGGGUGACACAGAGCCUGCCACUCAAAUGAUUUGGCCUGCCUCACAGGGUUGUUGUAAGGAGGAAGAACAGGAUACAGAAGAGAAUGUGAGAUGCCACAUGGAAACUGGACUUUGUUAGCAGUGACUAUGCUUGACCUGAAAGGCUUUAAUGCCUCCUCAACACCCCAAACUCACAAAGGGGGUGAAAAAUGUGAAUGCCUUUUUCUUUUUGACUUUAUUGCUUUGCUUUUGCCCAGGAUUGCUGUUUUGUUCUCGUGAUCAGAAACCAGCCUACAACACAAGCCACCAAGCCUUAAAUGAGGACAUCAUCCCCUGUUCUGGUCUUUGGGGAAGAGGGGCCCAGGGCAAGCAGGGAAACAAAAAUAUAAAUUGGAAAAAGAGAAAAGAAAAGAAAAAUGCCAAAAGACCAAAUUGAAAAUAGCCUCAGGUUUUAUCCAUCCUUUGUAUUAUUUCCUUUUGUGCUGAUGGUUGGCACCCAGAGACUUAGUCUCAGAACGCUGUCCCUACAUGGGGGGAGGGAAUUGGCAACUCACUUGCCUGUCUUUCUCUCAAGUAAACAGGUUUGCAACCAACAGUGCCUUGAAUUGUCUUUCCAAGAAGGAUUGGUCCUCCCCAGAUCGAAGGAAUACCUGGAUCCAUCGCCAGAACGUGAUCCCAAGGGAGUCUCUAGAGGACAUCAACACUGACCCAGGAAAACUAACCAUCAGCAGCAGCAGCAGCUACCAGAGGGCAGUCCCUAUCUGCAUUUCCAAUCCAACCCAACGGUGACAGAACGUCCAUCUGCUACCCUGUCCUGUGUUCGAAGAAGAGGGCCCAAUGCAAAGUUCAUUUUCCUGUUCCUAAGUGCUAUAGGAGAGGGAUAGACAACAAAUGCCUGAAGACUGCCACUUUUCUCUGGAGUCAUACAUGCAACAGCAUCUCCCCAAGCUGUGAAGCUCUGGAACCAUCCUACCUGGGUAAGAUACCUUGCCAAGGACAAUAUUUCAAAUUCUGCCAAAGACACUAUUUCAGAUUGCCCACAAGGGGGGGAGUCAAGGCUCCCAAACACAUGAACAUUCACGCUUGUCUAUGGACACUAGCCAAACAAGCCAAAACAACACGGAUCAGAGAACAUCCAAGAUAGCCAAAAUCCUGCAACAUUGUACAAGAGCAUUUGGUUCUCAACUGAAGGACUAAAAUAUUUUUUUUUAACCAAGGACUCUUAGGUUUUUUUUAAUUUUAAUUCUAAAGCUCUCCAUGGCUUCCUUUUUGGCCAUGACAGACUCUAGAGGACACUAAAGGGGGUGGGAGUUUAUGAUUUACACCACUUUCUUAUAUUACUUUCUUGUAGUGACUAUGUGCUAUCAUUAUGUUGAAAACCCUGCUGUCUCCUGUGCUGUAAGGACAUGGACCUCACAUGCUUGCUCUCCGGUCAUUUCCCAGAGCAUUUACCUGCAAGUCUGCACCUAUCCCCAAGUUACUGGUCCCUUUGUGCUCUAAGACAUUAAGCUAGCCCAAGCUUUACCUGCUAAUUUUAUAGACACUUGUAUUUAAUCAAUGUGAUUGUACAUGACUUGUCAUUGCUAUCGCUUUCCACAAGCUGAUAAUCCAUUAAUCACCAGAAGCAUCUGGUUCCACAAUGCAAGACUGUUAUUGAUACUUUAUUUGGGAUAAAGAUGGGUUAAAACAAUGUUACUUGCUAUAAGUUAUAUGAUCUUUAUAUGUACAACUUGCUGCUAUAUGUAAAACUUUUUAUCUAUAUCAAAUCAGAAUUAUACUAAUUAUGUUUGUAGCUCUAGGAUGUUGUAUGCAAUGUAUCUAGUUUUAUUGCCAUAUGUACAGCCCAUUCAGCACCUAUAUGUCCCAAAUCCUUUAGCUACACAAAACACAGAACUAUAUUUCCAAGAUUAGGAGUUUGUGUUAAAAAGAGCUAUUAUUAAUAUUUCCAAACAGUUAGAACUUUCAUUUAACUAAUAUGGAGAGCCUAUUGAUUUAUGGGCAAAGAAGAUAAUUCUAAUUAUAGUAUGUAUUUUCCUUUUAUUGAUAAUCACAUGUUGCUGCUUAUAAUGCAUUCUAGCUUUAAUCCAAAUGUUUAUGAGAACCUUUAAACCUUGCCAUAAUGUAAGACCCAUACAUACAGCUGUACCUUUACAAGCCCAUAUAUCCUGAAGAUUCAGGAUGAUCCAGUGGGGAAUUGAUGUGUUUUAGAAAACCAAAGUAACUCCAUUUUACUUAGAAAACCUCAGUCUGACUUAAAGUAACCCCAGCCCAGCUCAGGGCCAUCACGGCCUCUCAUGAUCAACGUCGUUAUCUCUCUCCACUAAAUUGUAUCUAAGGAAACUUGGUUCUCACAGGAUUCUCACUGUUCUUUGUUGACAAUUAAGAAAACAGGAUGUAACCAAAUAAGGAGUAAUCACCAGAUGAACAAUGAAUCAUUCACAUGCGUACUAGAUACUUAGUCCACCAUUUUAUUGCCACGUAUACUAUGUCUAGGGUGUCAGCAUCAUUCAGAUUGUCUGUAUAAAUGUAAGAUGCACCUAUAACCAAUUUGUAUUCAGUGCAGAGCCAAAGCCCACUGAUUACCAGUUGCAACUGCAGUGCAAUAAAAGCCUCAAAAGUAUU